rnacentral:rRNA from 1 species
UAGGGACUAUUAGUAAUGGGCGAAAGCCUGAACUAGCAACACCGCGUGUGCGAAGAAGGCCUUCGGGUUGUAAAGCACUUUUUGAGAGGAUGAGGAAGGACGGUACUCUCAGAAUAAGUCUCGGCUAACUACGUGCCAGCAGCCGCGGUAACACGUAGGAGGCAAACGUUAUCCGGAUUUACUGGGCGUAAAGCGCGUGUAGGUGGUUUGGUAAGUAGAGCGUGAAAGCUCCUGGCUCAACUGGGAGAGGUCGUUCUAAACUGCCGGACUAGAGGAUGGUAGAGGGAGGUGGAAUUCCGGGUGUAGCGGUGGAAUGCGCAGAUAUCCGGAGGAACAGCAGUGGCGAAAGCGGCCUCCUGGAUCACUCCUGACACUCAGACGCGAAAGCUAGGGUAGCAAACG